UUUUUUCAAAGAUGUUUAAAAUUACAGAGUCGACAAAGGAUAUUUUCGAUUUAUAGUAUAUAACUCUGAAACAUAAUAUGCUACUUGCCUUCCAAACGAAUUUACACACAUAUAAAUAGGGGAUUGCCUAUGGCAGUUUUACAAGGGGCAGUUGGGGCGGUUAUGGACUUGUGUCAUGCUGCUGACAGACCUACAAACAAGGAUAACAACCUGUUUGAAUUCAAAUUCAAACACUUCCUACGAACUAGGACUUGUCUUCAGCCUUAAAGUCAACUGUACAUGUACUUUGCACAUGCCUUGCACACUUUUUUCAUCACAUGCCAUGCACACUUGCUUUCCAGCUUUUUCCCACGCAUUGCCUACUGCAUUGCCUUGUCUUGGACCAUGCUCGCCCAUAAAUUCAUAGUCACACCUUGUCAUAAACUUAGUCGUCUCACUGAUCCAUGCAUGCCUUUGUCAAGUGCCAUCCAUGCCUUCGUUGCCAUUGUUGAUACCCACGAACCAAGGUUGCCUUGCCAACACUCAAGGCACCUUGCCUAGCCGACUUGUCUAAGUCCAUCACCAACUUAGACACACACCUGGCCUUACACAUUGCUUAUCAAUACUUCAACAAAUCCAUGUCAAGGGGCAAUGUACAAGCCCUUGACAUGAAUUCCGCCCGACCUUCGUCAAGUCUCAUUGUUAUGGGCUAACACCUACCAACAUUAACAAACAAUAAAUACACAGUUGGAAUAGGGAAGCAGCAGUCAAUUUUCCAUAAUUCAGUUACUUCCUAAUAAUUUUCUUUCUUUUUCUCUCUCGAUCCUAAUCUUCUUCUCUUCUUAAUUCUUAGGUCAUUUCCAUGGAAUAUCUAGCUAGGUCUACUGUAAUUAGCUAGAUCUGUUGAAAAUUUCAUUGAUGAACAAUUGCUUCCAUGAUCAAUAAAGCUUUCUUCUUUCUAUUUUGUCUCAAUUACUAUUAUCCAUACUAGUUCAUUACAGAUUAUGUCUUUUUUGUUGCUCUAUUGUUUCAAUGUAGGUGGUUUUGUAUUCAGUUCUGUCAGGCUUGAAGAUAUGAUUAUUGGUUUUAUCCAUUUGGCGAAUCAACUUUAGAAUAUCACUGUUCGUCUUCAGAUGGUUUUUUUUUUCGUUCUCUCAAUUCCAUUUAUUUACUUUAUCUCAGUAGCAGUAGAAUUUGGGAUUUUCAGUUGCAGUUUAGUUAUUGCUGAAUCAGUAAUGAAACUCUUAUAGACAAUCUAGCUUGAAAUUUAUUCUCUUUCUUAAAGAGUGUUGACAUUCAACAAAGACUAUUCUUUCGUAGAUGCUUCCUUCCAAAACUUGAAGAAAAUAAUCGAGUAAAUUUUAUAUAUAUGCAAAUGUGCAUGUUUUGAACAGUACUGGACCUGGUGCCCAAUGGCGAAACCAGAAUUUUUAUCAAUGGGUGUCAAAAUAUACAAUUUGAUACACCGAAAAGUCAAGGAGGAUUAACGUAUAAUAAAUAUACAUAAAUAAAAAAAAACUUAUCUAGCAAUACAGUAUAAUUUUUCGACAAAAAGGUAUUGAUUGAUACCCUUGAUUGAAUAUGGCUCCGUCAUUGCUGCCUGGUGGUGUAAUUUCAGACCCAUAUCAAGAGAAGUUAUUCAUUUUGUAAAAAC
rnacentral:lncRNA from 1 species